GGGCAGCAUCAGCGAACUUACAGUACUGGCGGUGGCAGUGGUAUGCAUCAUUUUUCUACUCUUACUUCUAGGGAUUAUUGGCUGGCGAUAUUUAUCAAGACAAAAUAAAGCAAAAUAUGAAAAUACAGCUGGAGCACCACAGAAGCAUUCCAAAUAUCUGGAAGAAGACCCUAUCUAUGCGACUGUGAAUGAUGACAUACCUGACAUAAAGAAUAAUCCACAAACAGGUAAAACUGACAAAACGUACGCUUUGCUGGGUUGUACAACAGGAAAUACGUAUUUUGUCAGAGGUGACAACCCCGACCACUCUUUGCAUAAUUCAAAACAAGCCAGCCCCUAUUCAACAUAUGCUUUGUUGGGUUCAGUAGCAGAGAACAAAGAUUCCAUCACAGCCGACAUCGACAACCAGUAUGCUUUGUACUCUACAGUUAAUGAUCUAGAAUAAUGACUCCAUUAAAAGACUUUUUUUCGACGGGACAUGCAUUGUGCUUUUGCAAAGAUCAUCAUAAAACUGGUUAAAAUGUGUUACUCUGAAAACCGAGUUUGUCUUUGUCUCUUACUGUAAGAAGUUCUUUGGUACUUUUAUAUCACAUCAAAUUUAUAUCAUAUUUCCUGGUUUCGAAUACAAAUCAGAUGAAAAUGAGUGCAAUAAUGUUAUUCCAAUGACAUAAAUUAAAUAGAAAUG